rnacentral:lncRNA from 1 species
AGGGAGUAUUCAUUACCGAUUACUAGGUAAGAAUAGCCUUGCUGGGGAGAACUACGGAAAAUAGGAUUUACAACUACCAGUUACUGGGUAGAAGACCAAGGGUGAGAGUAUUCGUCAUCGGUUAGGAUGUACAAAUCAAGGAUAAACUCAAUAGGGAAGACAAUCCGUCAUCGAUUAAGAUGAACAUAUCAAGGAUAGACUUGCCUGGGAAUGCCAAGGAGGAUACCCGUCAUCGGUUAGGAUGAACAUAUCAAGGAUAUACCAAUUGAACAAAAG